rnacentral:misc_RNA from 1 species
GAUGAAGAACGUAGCGAAAUGCGAUAAGUAAUGUGAAUUGCAGAAUUCAGUGAAUCAUCGAAUCUUUGAACGCACUUUGCGCCCGCCAGUAUUCUGGCGGGCAUGCCUGUCUGAGCGUCAUUUCAACCCUCAUGCCCCUAGGGCGUGGUGUUGGGGAUCGGCCAAAGCCCGCGAGGGACGGCCGGCCCCUAAAUCUAGUGGCGGACCCGUCGUGGCCUCCUCUGCGAAGUAGUGAUAUUCCGCAUCGGAGAGCGACGAGCCCCUGCCGUUAAACCCCCAACUUUCCAAGGUUGACCUCAGAUCAGGUAGGAAUACCCGCUGAACUUAAGCAUAUCAAUAAGCGGAGGA